AGCAGCCGCGGUAAUUCCAGCUCCAAUAGCGUAUAUUAAAGUUGUUGCAGUUAAAAAGCUCGUAGUUGAAUUUCGGGACUAAUAUGUCGGUCGUACUUUGUACGUACUAGCAUUAUUGGUUUCUCCCUUCUGACGAACCACGACGUCAUUAAUUUGGUGUCAUGGGGAAUCAGGACUGUUACUUUGAAAAAUUAGAGUGUUUAAAGCAAGCUCGCGCUUGAAUACAUUAGCAUGGAAUAAUGAAAUAGGACGUUUGAUUCUAUUUUGUUGGUUUCUAGGAUCGACGUAAUGAUUAAUAGGGAUAGUUGGGGGCAUUAGUAUUCAAUUGUCAGAGGUGAAAUUCUUGGAUUUAUUGAAGACUAACUACUGCGAAAGCAUUUGCCAAGGAUGUUUUCAUUAAUCAAGAACGAAAGUUAGGGGAUCGAAGACGAUCAGAUACCGUCGUAGUCUUAACCAUAAACUAUGCCGACUAGGGAUCGGAUGAUGUUAAUUUUUUAAUGACUCAUUCGGCGCCUUACG
rnacentral:rRNA from 1 species